rnacentral:rRNA from 1 species
UACGUAGGGGGCAAGCGUUGUCCGGAAUUAUUGGGCGUAAAGAGCGUGUAGGCGGUCCGGUAAGUCAGCUGUGAAAGUCAAGGGCUCAACCCUUGAAUGCCGGUUGAUACUGUCGGGCUAGAGUCCGGAAGAGGCGAGUGGAAUUCCCGGUGUAGCGGUGAAAUGCGUAGAUAUUGGGAGGAACACCGGUGGCGAAGGCGGCUACCUGGACCGGUUCUGACGCUGAUGCGCGAAAGCGUGGG